GGCUGCUGCCUUCCAGUGCAGGUGGAACUUCACAAGCAGAGCUAAUAGACCUUGAAGGAAGUGGUACACUUGCUUUUGAGCCUGCUGGUGAAGAAGUCGUCAUAGAUCUCACGGGCGAAUCUUCUGGGCCUGAAGUCAUCGUUAUCAGUGACGAUGAGUCUGAUGUGGACACGGAGCAGAGCCAGCAGCAGCCACAUCCUUCCAGAGCAUCAGAGAAUUCAUCCGAGGCCCUGGCAAGGGAUGAUGAAGAGGAAGCAAGAGAAAAUGAUGGUGCAUGGCCAGCAGGUCCUGCUAGUCCUGUGACUAGGGAGGACGACAACUCAGAGGUGCAGGACAGGGAGCAGAGCCAGCAGUCCCCACUUGGUUCCAGGGAGGCAGAGAAUUCAGCUGAGCUACGGGCAAGUGACAAUGAAGAGGAGCCAAGAGACAACAAUGGGUAUGUGACACAUGAAGUGUCUCUCCAAAGUGUAAUUUCCUACAUACAGUUGACACAGGAUUUUGCCAAACUGUUGGAUUCUGCUUGAUUCUGCUUGAAGGAUUCUGAUUUGGAACAUAGUGGCCUGGAAGGGAACUAAUGGAAAAGAAACCCCUAAACCCAGCAAAAUCCAGGAGAAACCUUUCUUCUCCAUUCAGGAAGUCAUUCUUGAAUGUUUCUUACACUAUGGAUAGUGACAGACUGAAAUGCUUGCAGUACAUAAAAGCUCUUGCGCGGAUUGUGUUUCUGGGCUGGGAUGCUGCAAAAUGAGACUAAGGGGAUGAUUUGAUUUCUGCAAUUUUAUGUCUUGGUAACCCUCUGUGCACUGUGAAAUUGAUGACUGCGUGUUCUUUCAGUUCUU